rnacentral:lncRNA from 1 species
UUGGCUACUCCUUACAAAUUUAAGAUAAGUUAUUAUAAAACUACCACUAAAAGUGUUUUUGCUAAAUAUUUUUUUAAACGACUUUAGCUUCACAAGAGGAGUCGGAGUUUUAGCCCUGCCAAAGUAAUCCUAAGCUAAUAUUGAGUUUGACUAUCUAUAUAAAAAGUAUGAAUACUAUUAUAUCAAGUAAGUAUCAUUCGAUUUAUUAUGAGAUAUAUUUCUUAUAAUAUAUUUAUUU